AGAGUUUGAUCAUGGCUCAGGACGAACGCUGGCGGCGUGCUUAACACAUGCAAGUCGAGCGGAAAGGCCCUUCGGGGUACUCGAGCGGCGAACGGGUGAGUAACACGUGAGCAAUCUGCCCCUAGCUCUGGGAUAGCUCCGGGAAACCGGGAUUAAUACCAGAUACGACCACUUUAGACAUCUGUUGUGGUGGAAAGAAUUUCGGCUAGGGAUGAGCUCGCGGCCUAUCAGCUUGUUGGUGGGGUAACGGCCUACCAAGGCGACGACGGGUAGCCGGCCUGAGAGGGCGACCGGCCACACUGGGACUGAGACACGGCCCAGACUCCUACGGGAGGCAGCAGUGGGGAAUAUUGCGCAAUGGGCGAAAGCCUGACGCAGCGACGCCGCGUGGGGGAUGAAGGCCUUCGGGUUGUAAACCCCUUUCAGCAGGGACGAAGCGAAAGUGACGGUACCUGCAGAAGAAGCGCCGGCUAACUACGUGCCAGCAGCCGCGGUAACACGUAGGGCGCAAGCGUUGUCCGGAAUUAUUGGGCGUAAAGAGCUCGUAGGCGGUCUGUUGCGUCCGCUGUGAAAACUCGGGGCUUAACCCCGAGCCUGCAGUGGAUACGGGCAGACUAGAGGUAGGUAGGGGAGAAUGGAAUUCCCGGUGUAGCGGUGAAAUGCGCAGAUAUCGGGAGGAACACCGGUGGCGAAGGCGGUUCUCUGGGCCUUACCUGACGCUGAGGAGCGAAAGCGUGGGGAGCAAACAGGAUUAGAUACCCCGGUAGUCC
rnacentral:rRNA from 1 species